rnacentral:rRNA from 1 species
CGGCGGACGGGUGAGUAAUGCCUAGGGAAUCUGCCUGGUAGUGGGGGACAACGUUUCGAAAGGAACGCUAAUACCGCAUACGUCCUACGGGAGAAAGCAGGGACCUUCGGGCCUUGCGCUAUCAGAUGAGCCUAGGUCGGAUUAGCUAGUUGGUGAGGUAAUGGCUCACCAAGGCGACGAUCCGUAACUGGUCUGAGAGGAUGAUCAGUCACACUGGAACUGAGACACGGUCCAGACUCCUACGGGAGGCAGCAGGG